ensembl:lncRNA
GUUGGAGAUGAGGUGGAGGUGAGAACUACCAGUAUAACUGAUGAUUUAAGGAUGACUCAGGUCUGGUAGUUGUAAUUUACCAGUUUUUAUGUCCAUUGUCUCACAGAUUUUCUCCAGGCUCAGUGAUAAGGAACCAUUUGGCUGGUGGCAGGCACGGAUCAAAAUGAUUAUAGGAGAGGUAAUUCAGAUGUUGCUGCAGAAUCACAAGUCCUUACUCAGAAGCUGGAGUGGAUUAUUUAAAAAAAAAAGCACAAAAAAUAAUUCAGCUUGACUGCUAAUUAAUCAUUUUCAAGGGGUUGGUAAUAAAAAAGCUUCCUUUCUUACACUUUUCCCAGUGGUACCUGAUUGAAUACAAGGAUGGAUUCCAGGAGUUCGUCAAAUCAGGGUCCAUCAGGAAUCAGAAUAAGAACACUUUCUGCACCAUAGAAAUGCUCGUGCAGAUCUUCUGGUCAGAAGAACCAACAGUCAGACUGCAGGUGAGUGCUCAGAGCGUACGCUCCACAUAGGUCUCACGAAGAACUGCACAAGCAGAUGUGAAAGUGCUGGCUUUGACAGCUGUCAACCACAUGUGAUCCAUGUCUUCCUCUGCCUGGCCAUUUAGAAGGAGCAGUGCCAUGCACAACCAGAGACCGAGGAUAAGGGCUGUCAGACUGAAGCCGAUGACGGUCACCCAACGGAAUGUGCUGGUCCCAGCGAGCAAAGGGCCCACGCGACAUUAAACAGCAGCUUGCAACACCAGAACUGUCCGAGCAGUGAGGCCCACGGCGGUCAGCCACCAGACUCCGGCGAACACACUGAAGAACUGUGGCAAUCCGACGAAGACCAGCUGGUCUGGACUCUGAAAUUUGAUCCCAAGCCUCCAAAGGCCAGCAAAUCCGCCCGUCGUCGUCGUCGCAACUGCCAGCGUCAACUGCGUGAUUACAGCAUGGAUGAUGAGUACGAUGACGAAGAAAUUAGGAUGACCCCACAGGGACUCUGCCUAUUCCGAUUGUUUGGCAGCCGAUGGGUGGCAAUGGCCUAAUCAGUUUUUCUUUUUGGAAUACAGUGAUCCCUCGUUUAUCGCGGGAGUUGCGUUCCAAAAAUAACACGCGAAAAGUGAAAUCCGUGAAGUAGUCAGCUUUAUUUUUUAUUUUUAUUUUACAAUGCAAUACUGAACUGUAGAAUGAAACCAAAAAUCAAAACCUGUUUUAAAGCCCAAAAUUUGUUUAAAACACUAAUUUUAAUAUAGUAAUACAAGGUUGGAAACAUUGUCACACACGUAUUUCCCAGUCCCAGCUGUGCCUCUUCGUCCUGACUCCGCUCCGCUGGAGCGUCUGUUUCUACUGGAGGCGCAGGAGUGUUUCUCCCAGAGAAGAACUUUGUUAUGGGUAGUUGUUGGCGCUCUUUCUUUUUCUGAGCAAGAAGAUUUUUAUAAACGGAUAUGCCACCUUCGAUUAUAUUUGAGAACUGCAACGAACGACUCGCAAAAAAAAAUCCGUGAAGCAGCGAAGCCGUGAAAGAUGAAACGCGAUAUAGCGAGGGAUCACUGUAUUUCCUUUUUAAUGAUCCAUUUUUUUUCCUGAACUUCAUGAAUAUUUGUGAUAUUUGUGAAUAAAAUCUGAAUAUACUCCGGUCUUUUGUGAUGAUUUAAGUCAAUUUGGAGAAAUUCAAAU